rnacentral:rRNA from 1 species
GACGAACGCUGGCGGCGUGCUUAACACAUGCAAGUCGAACGGAAAGGCCCUGCUUUUGUGGGGUGCUCGAGUGGCGAACGGGUGAGUAACACGUGAGUAACCUGCCCUUGACUUUGGGAUAACUUCAGGAAACUGGGGCUAAUACCGGAUAGGAGCUCCUGCUGCAUGGUGGGGGUUGGAAAGUUUCGGCGGUUGGGGAUGGACUCGCGGCUUAUCAGCUUGUUGGUGGGGUAGUGGCUUACCAAGGCUUUGGCGGGUAGCCGGCCUGAGAGGGUGACCAGCCACACUGGAACGGGGGCACGGUCCAGACUCCUAAGGGAGGCAGCAGUGGGGCAGAUUGCACAAUGGGCGCGAGCCUGAUGCAGCCAUGCCGCGUGUAUGAAGAAGGCCUUCGGGUUGUAAAGGACGUUGAGCGGGGAGGAAGGGAGUAAAGUUAAUACCUUUGCUCAUUGACGUGACACGCAGAAGAAGCACCGGCUAACUCCGUG